AAAGAGGGAUGCAGCCAAGGAUGACUUGCCGACUAAUUAUGUAUUUUAAAUUCGAAUUAAAAGAACAAUGGAGUUGGCAAGUUGUCUUUGGCUACGUGUUUCUUUGU
rnacentral:pre_miRNA from 1 species